ACAAUAUUGGAGAAAAAAUCCCUCUGUUUAUCCACAGAACAGGUUCAGCAUAAGCAACAACAGUGCAAGCUUCAGUAUACGCUGUCCUCCUACCUGUGUGCCUCAAACGGGACCCAAAGAGACAACCUCUAGGCAAGAAAAUAGAGUUUGCGGUUUAUUUAGCUCUUGUCCUUGGCUGCU
ensembl:misc_RNA